rnacentral:rRNA from 1 species
GACGAACGCUGGCGGCGUGCCUAAUACAUGCAAGUUGAGCGAUGAAGCUUGGUGCUUGCACCAAUUUGAAGAGCAGCGAACGGGUGAGUAACGCGUGGGGAAUCUGCCUUUGAGCGGGGGACAACAUUUGGAAACGAAUGCUAAUACCGCAUAACAACUUUAAACAUAAGUUUUAAGUUUGAAAGAUGCAAUUGCAUCACUCAAAGAUGAUCCCGCGUUGUAUUAGCUAGUUGGUGAGGUAAAGGCUCACCAAGGCGAUGAUACAUAGCCGACCUGAGAGGGUGAUCGGCCACAUUGGGACUGAGACACGGCCCAAACUCCUACGGGAGGCAGCAGUAGGGAAUCUUCGGCAAUAGACGAAAGUCUGACCGAGCAACGCCGCGUGAGUGAAGAAGGUUUUCGGAUCGUAAAACUCUGUUGGUAGAGAAGAACGUUGGUGAGAGUGGAAAGCUCAUCAAGUGACGGUAACUACCCAGAAAGGGACGGCUAACUACGUG